rnacentral:rRNA from 3 species
UUUGGUUAAGUUAGAAAGGGCGCACGGUGGAUGCCUUGACACUAGGAGUCGAUGAAGGACGGGACUAACGCCGAUAUGCUUCGGGGAGCUGUAAGUAAGCUUUGAUCCGAAGAUUUCCGAAUGGGGAAACCCACCAUACGUAAUGGUAUGGUAUCCUUAUCUGAAUACAUAGGGUAAGGAAGACAGACUCAGGGAACUGAAACAUCUAAGUACCUGGAGGAAGAGAAAGCAAAUGCGAUUUCCUGAGUAGCGGCGAGCGAAACGGAACAUAGCCCAAACCAAGAGGCUUGCCUCUUGGGGUUGUAGGACAUUCUAUACGGAGUUACAAAGGAACGAGGUAGACGAAGCGACCUGGAAAGGUCCGUCGUAGAGGGUAACAACCCCGUAGUCGAAACUUCGUUCUCUCUUGAAUGUAUCCUGAGUACGGCGGAACACGUGAAAUUCCGUCGGAAUCUGGGAGGACCAUCUCCCAAGGCUAAAUACUCCCUAGUGAUCGAUAGUGAACCAGUACCGUGAGGGAAAGGUGAAAAGCACCCCGGAAGGGGAGUGAAAGAGAUCCUGAAACCGUGUGCCUACAAAUAGUCAGAGCCCGUUAAUGGGUGAUGGCGUGCCUUUUGUAGAAUGAACCGGCGAGUUACGAUCCCGUGCGAGGUUAAGCUGAAGAGGCGGAGCCGCAGCGAAAGCGAGUCUGAAUAGGGCGUUUAGUACGUGGUCGUAGACCCGAAACCAGGUGAUCUACCCAUGUCCAGGGUGAAGUUCAGGUAACACUGAAUGGAGGCCCGAACCCACGCACGUUGAAAAGUGCGGGGAUGAGGUGUGGGUAGCGGAGAAAUUCCAAUCGAACCUGGAGAUAGCUGGUUCUCCCCGAAAUAGCUUUAGGGCUAGCCUUAAGUGUAAGAGUCUUGGAGGUAGAGCACUGAUUGGACUAGGGGUCCUCAUCGGAUUACCGAAUUCAGUCAAACUCCGAAUGCCAAUGACUUAUCCUUAGGAGUCAGACUGCGAGUGAUAAGAUCCGUAGUCAAAAGGGAAACAGCCCAGACCGCCAGCUAAGGUCCCAAAGUGUGUAUUAAGUGGAAAAGGAUGUGGAGUUGCUUAGACAACUAGGAUGUUGGCUUAGAAGCAGCCACCAUUUAAAGAGUGCGUAAUAGCUCACUAGUCGAGUGACUCUGCGCCGAAAAUGUACCGGGGCUAAAUACACCACCGAAGCUGCGGAUUGAUACCAAUGGUAUCAGUGGUAGGGGAGCGUUCUAAGGACAGUGAAGUCAGACCGGAAGGACUGGUGGAGUGCUUAGAAGUGAGAAUGCCGGUAUGAGUAGCGAAAGACGGGUGAGAAUCCCGUCCACCGAAUGCCUAAGGUUUCCUGAGGAAGGCUCGUCCGCUCAGGGUUAGUCAGGACCUAAGCCGAGGCCGACAGGCGUAGGCGAUGGACAACAGGUUGAUAUUCCUGUACCACCUCUUUAUCGUUUGAGCAAUGGAGGGACGCAGAAGGAUAGAAGAAGCGUGCGAUUGGUUGUGCACGUCCAAGCAGUUAGGCUGAUAAGUAGGCAAAUCCGCUUAUCGUGAAGGCUGAGCUGUGAUGGGGAAGCUCCUUAUGGAGCGAAGUCUUUGAUUCCCCGCUGCCAAGAAAAGCUUCUAGCGAGAUAAAAGGUGCCUGUACCGCAAACCGACACAGGUAGGCGAGGAGAGAAUCCUAAGGUGUGCGAGAGAACUCUGGUUAAGGAACUCGGCAAAAUGACCCCGUAACUUCGGGAGAAGGGGUGCUUUCUUAACGGAAAGCCGCAGUGAAUAGGCCCAAGCGACUGUUUAGCAAAAACACAGCUCUCUGCGAAGCCGUAAGGCGAAGUAUAGGGGGUGACACCUGCCCGGUGCUGGAAGGUUAAGGAGAGGGGUUAGCGUAAGCGAAGCUCUGAACUGAAGCCCCAGUAAACGGCGGCCGUAACUAUAACGGUCCUAAGGUAGCGAAAUUCCUUGUCGGGUAAGUUCCGACCCGCACGAAAGGUGUAACGAUUUGGGCACUGUCUCAACCAGAGACUCGGUGAAAUUAUAGUACCUGUGAAGAUGCAGGUUACCCGCGACAGGACGGAAAGACCCCGUGGAGCUUUACUGUAGCCUGAUAUUGAAUUUUGGUACAGUUUGUACAGGAUAGGCGGGAGCCUUUGAAACCGGAGCGCUAGCUUCGGUGGAGGCGCUGGUGGGAUACCGCCCUGACUGUAUUGAAAUUCUAACCUACGGGUCUUAUCGACCCGGGAGACAGUGUCAGGUGGGCAGUUUGACUGGGGCGGUCGCCUCCUAAAGUGUAACGGAGGCGCCCAAAGGUUCCCUCAGAAUGGUUGGAAAUCAUUCGUAGAGUGCAAAGGCAUAAGGGAGCUUGACUGCGAGACCUACAAGUCGAGCAGGGACGAAAGUCGGGCUUAGUGAUCCGGUGGUUCCGCAUGGAAGGGCCAUCGCUCAACGGAUAAAAGCUACCCCGGGGAUAACAGGCUUAUCUCCCCCAAGAGUCCACAUCGACGGGGAGGUUUGGCACCUCGAUGUCGGCUCAUCGCAUCCUGGGGCUGUAGUCGGUCCCAAGGGUUGGGCUGUUCGCCCAUUAAAGCGGUACGCGAGCUGGGUUCAGAACGUCGUGAGACAGUUCGGUCCCUAUCCGUCGUGGGCGUAGGAAAUUUGAGAGGAGCUGUCCUUAGUACGAGAGGACCGGGAUGGACGCACCGCUGGUGUACCAGUUGUUCUGCCAAGGGCAUAGCUGGGUAGCUAUGUGCGGAAGGGAUAAGUGCUGAAAGCAUCUAAGCAUGAAGCCCCCCUCAAGAUGAGAUUUCCCAUAGCGUAAGCUAGUAAGAUCCCUGAAAGAUGAUCAGGUUGAUAGGUUCGAGGUGGAAGCAUGGUGAUAUGUGGAGCUGACGAAUACUAAUAGAUCGAGGACUUAACCAUAUAA